rnacentral:rRNA from 1 species
AGUGAACGCUGGCGGUAGGCCUAACACAUGCAAGUCGAACGGCAGCACAGUAAGAGCUUGCUCUUACGGGUGGCGAGUGGCGGACGGGUGAGGAAUACAUCGGAAUCUACUUUUUCGUGGGGGAUAACGUAGGGAAACUUACGCUAAUACCGCAUACGACCUACGGGUGAAAGCAGGGGAUCUUCGGACCUUGCGCGAUUGAAUGAGCCGAUGUCGGAUUAGCUAGUUGGCGGGGUAAAGGCCCACCAAGGCGACGAUCCGUAGCUGGUCUGAGAGGAUGGUCAGCCACCCUGGAACUGAGACAGGGUCCAGACUCCUACGGGGGGCAGCAGUGGGGAAUAUUGGGCGAUGGGCGCAAGCCUGAUCCAGCCAUACCGCGUGGGUGAAGAAGGCCUUCGGGUUGUAAAGCCCUUUUGUUGGGAAAGAAAAGCAGCAGGUUAAUACCCCGCUGUUCUGACGGUACCCAAAGAAUAAGCACCGGCUAACUUCGUG